rnacentral:rRNA from 1 species
ACGGAGAGUUUGAUUCUGGCUCAGAACGAACGCUGGCGGCGUGGAUAAGACAUGCAAGUCGUGCGGAGCUUGAUGGAUAGCAAUAUUUGUCAGGCUUAGCGGCGAAAGGGUGCGUAACACGUUGGUAAUCUACCGUGAAGUUGGGAAUAACUUGCCGAAAGGUAAGCUAAUGCCGAAUGUGGACCCACCGGGAUAACCUGGUAGGUCUAAAGCCGGGGACCGCAAGGCCUGGCGCUUCAUGAUGAGCCUGCGGCCUAUCAGCUAGUUGGUGGGGUAACGGCCCACCAAGGCGAUGACGGGUAGCUGGUCUGAGAGGACGAUCAGCCACACUGGAACUGAGACACGGUCCAGACACCUACGGCAGCAGUCGAGAAUCUUUUCACAAUGGGGCAACCCCUGGAUGGGAGCGACGCUGCGUGGGGGGAUGACGGGCUUCGCUUGUAAACCUGUCAUUCGUGAGCAAAGACGAGGUGAAUAAUCCUGCAUUUGAUAGUAGCGAAAGAGGAAGGGACGCAUAACUUCAGCCAGCAGCCGCGGUAAUACAGAGGUCCCGGAGCGUUCGGAUUCACCGGCGUAAGGGUGCAGAGUAAGUCCGUGAAAUUCCGCCCAAACCUGGAAAGCCGGAAACUACCAGGGUUGAGAGAUCAAAUUCGGUGAAGAAAUGCGUAGAUAUCGAGAGAACACCAGUGGCGAAGGCGAGUCCUCGGAUAAACAAUUUCGACACUAUAAUGAAAGCUGGGGAGCAAAAUGCAGGAUUAGAUACCCUGGUAGUCCCAGCCCCAAAACGGUACAUUUGUUGUGGGAGGAAUCGCUUUUCCGGCAGAAGCACGCGUUAAAGGCCCCUGGGGAUACGUACGCGGCUAAAACUCAAAGAAAUUGACGGGGGCCCGCACAAGGAGUAUGUGGGUUUAAUUCGAUGCAACGCGAAGAACCCCACUCACCUCGACAUGCAGUGGUAAAGCCCGAAAGGGUAAUGGACCCCGCAAGGAGCUUGCACAGGUGCUGCAUGGCUGUUGCCGUCAGCUCGUGUCGAGAUGUUGCUGAAGUCCCGCAACGGUGUUCUGUUGCCACCUGGACGAGAGUCCGGAGUUCUGAACAGACCGCCCCCGCUUAAAACGGGGGAGGAAGGUAAUGACGUUCGAGUCAGUAUGGCCUCACGGCCAGGGCUACCACGUACCAAUGCCCGCGUGGGACGCGCAAGACCGCAAGCAGGAGCAAAUCCCCAAAAGCGGGCCUGAUCAUCAUUGCAACUGCCGGCAUGAAGUUGAACGCCAGUACGCAUCAGCUACGGCGCGAAUACGUUCCCAGGCCCACACACCGCCCGUCACAUCAUGAAAGCCGUACCCGAAGUCGCCAGGUUAACCGCAAGGCAGCAGGUGCCGGAAGGGCGGUGAUUGGAGAAGUCGUAACAAGGUAGCCGUAGGGGAACCUGCGGCUGGAUCUUCACCCCUUUCUAUGAGUAGGU